UACGUAGGUGGCAAGCGUUGUCCGGAAUUAUUGGGCGUAAAGCGCGCGCAGGCGGUCUCUUAAGUCUGAUGUGAAAGCCCCCGGCUCAACCGGGGAGGGUCAUUGGAAACUGGGAGACUUGAGGACAGAAGAGGAGAGUGGAAUUCCAAGUGUAGCGGUGAAAUGCGUAGAUAUUUGGAGGAACACCAGUGGCGAAGGCGGCUCUCUGGUCUGUUACUGACGCUGAGGCGCGAAAGCGUGGGGAGCAAACAGG
rnacentral:ncRNA from 4 species